rnacentral:tRNA from 1 species
GGGCCCGUAGCUUAGCUAGGUAGAGCGUUCGGCUCUUAACCGAACGGCCAAGGGUUCGAAAGUUAAAAAAAAACCGAAAAUCCCUUCGGGCCCGCCA